rnacentral:rRNA from 1 species
CCCUUAGAUGUCCGGGGCUGGACGCGCGCUACACUGACUGGCUCAGCGUGUGCCUACCCUACGCCGGCAGGCGCGGGUAACCCGUUGAACCCCAUUCGUGAUGGGGAUCGGGGAUUGCAAUUAUUCCCCAUGAACGAGGAAUUCCCAGUAAGUGCGGGUCAUAAGCUUGCGUUGAUUAAGUCCCUGCCCUUUGUACACACCGCCCGUCGCUACUACCGAUUGGAUGGUUUAGUGAGGCCCUCGGAUCGGCCCCGCCGGGGUCGGCCCACGGCCCUGGCGGAGCGCUGAGAAGACGGUCGAACUUGACUAUCUAGAGGAAGUAAAAGUCGUAACA